rnacentral:lncRNA from 13 species
CCGAAGUCGCUGGGUCCAUUCUUGGUCGGAUUCUUCUGUUACGGUGAGUGAAUGAGGACCCAAAAGCGAACUAACUUAAACAGAGCUUCUUUAAUAACCAAACUGUGGUAGGCUCAGAUAGACCGGCAGAUUCCGACAGGACAGGACAAGGUUACAGCAAACAUGACGAUAGUCUGGCUCAGGCAUGAAACACAACAAACAAGAAUCCGACAAGGACAGGAACAAAAACAGAGGACCUAAUCAGAGGGAAAAAGGGA